rnacentral:rRNA from 1 species
GACGAACGCUGGCGGCGUGCUUAACACAUGCAAGUCGAACGGUAAGGCCCUUCGGGGUACACGAGUGGCGAACGGGUGAGUAACACGUGGGUGAUCUGCCCUGCACUUCGGGAUAAGCCUGGGAAACUGGGUCUAAUACCGGAUAGGACCCUGGGAUGCAUGUCCUGGGGUGGAAAGCUUUUGCGGCGGGGGAUGGGCCCGCGGGCUAUCAGCUUGUUGGUGGGGUGAUGGCCUACCAAGGCGACGACGGGUAGCCGGCCCGAGAGGGUGACCGGGCACACUGGGACUGAGAUACGGCCCAGACUCCUACGGGAGGCAGCAGUGGGGAAUAUUGCACAAUGGGCGCAAGCCUGAUGCAGCGACGCCGCGUGAGGGAUGACGGCCUUCGGGUUGUAAACCUCUUUCAGCACCGACGAAGCGCAAGUGACGGUAGGUGCAGAAGAAGGACCGGCCAACUACGUGCCAGCAGCCGCGGUAA